rnacentral:rRNA from 1 species
AUUGAACGCUGGCGGCAGGCCUAACCCAUGCAAGUCGAGCGAGCGGCGGACGGGUGAGUAAUGUCUGGGAAACUGCCUGAUGGAGGGGGAUAACUACUGGAAACGGUAGAUAAUACCGCAUACCAUCAGAUGUGCCCAGAUGGGAUUAGCUAGUAGGUGGGAUAACUGCUAACCUAGGCGACGUUCCCUAGCUGGUCUGAGAGGAUGAACAGCCACACCGGAAAGGAGACACGGUCCCGACUCUGACGGGAGGCAGCAGCGGGGAAUAUUGAACAAUGGGCGCAAGCCUGAUGCAGCAUGGCCGAGUGUGUGAAGGAGGCCUUCGGGUUGUAAAGCACUGUCAGCGGGGAGGCGUUACCCGCAGAGGAAGCACCGGCUAACUCCGUGCCAGCAGCCGCGGUAAUUC